rnacentral:rRNA from 1 species
AUCAAAUCGUACCCCAAACCGACACAGGUGGUCAGGUAGAGAAUACCAAGGCGCUUGAGAGAACUCGGGUGAAGGAACUAGGCAAAAUGGUGCCGUAACUUCGGGAGAAGGCACGCUGACACGUAGGUGAAGUGAUUUACUCAUGGAGCUGAAGUCAGUCGAAGAUACCAGCUGGCUGCAACUGUUUAUUAAAAACACAGCACUGUGCAAACACGAAAGUGGACGUAUACGGUGUGACGCCUGCCCGGUGCCGGAAGGUUAAUUGAUGGGGUCAGCGCAAGCGAAGCUCCUGAUCGAAGCCCCGGUAAACGGCGGCCGUAACUAUAACGGUCCUAAGGUAGCGAAAUUCCUUGUCGGGUAAGUUCCGACCUGCACGAAUGGCGUAAUGAUGGCCAGGCUGUCUCCACCCGAGACUCAGUGAAAUUGAACUCGCUGUGAAGAUGCAGUGUACCCGCGGCAAGACGGAAAGACCCCGUGAACCUUUACUAUAGCUUGACACUGAACAUUGAGCCUUGAUGUGUAGGAUAGGUGGGAGGCUUUGAAGUGUGGACGCCAGUCUGCAUGGAGCCGACCUUGAAAUACCACCCUUUAAUGUUUGAUGUUCUAACGUGGACCCGUAAUCCGGGUUGCGGACAGUGUCUGGUGGGUAGUUUGACUGGGGCGGUCUCCUCCUAAAGAGUAACGGAGGAGCACGAAGGUUGGCUAAUCCUGGUCGGACAUCAGGAGGUUAGUGCAAUGGCAUAAGCCAGCUUGACUGCGAGCGUGACGGCGCGAGCAGGUGCGAAAGCAGGUCAUAGUGAUCCGGUGGUUCUGAAUGGAAGGGCCAUCGCUCAACGGAUAAAAGGUACUCCGGGGAUAACAGGCUGAUACCGCCCAAGAGUUCAUAUCGACGGCGGUGUUUGGCACCUCGAUGUCGGCUCAUCACAUCCUGGGGCUGAAGUAGGUCCCAAGGGUAUGGCUGUUCGCCAUUUAAAGUGGUACGCGAGCUGGGUUUAGAACGUCGUGAGACAGUUCGGUCCCUAUCUGCCGUGGGCGCUGGAGAACUGAGGGGGGCUGCUCCUAGUACGAGAGGACCGGAGUGGACGCAUCACUGGUGUUCGGGUUGUCAUGCCAAUGGCACUGCCCGGUAGCUAAAUGCGGAAGAGAUAAGUGCUGAAAGCAUCUAAGCACGAAACUUGCCCCGAGAUGAGUUCUCCCUGAGACUUAGAGUCUCCUGAAGGAACGUUGAAGACGACGACGUUGAUAGGCCGGGUGUGUAAGCGCAGCGAUGCGUUGAGCUAACCGGUACUAAUGAACCGUGAGGCUUAACCUUAC